GGGAUAUGAUGGUCUUGUGGCUGUAUAGAUUUUUACUAUGAAGAUGUGUAUAUGAUGUAAAUUUAAUUAUAUAUAAUCAGUAUUUUUUUUAUUUUGUUGUGGGUGUACCCGCACCCACUGCUGUUAACAUACCUCAAUCCUUGCGCAAAAUCUAUCAACGAUAACAAAAUGGCAAGAAACCUUGCAUAGGUGAAUAUUUUCAUUUCACCUUAGUCUCUGCUUUAGGUGUUGAAACAAAGCAGUCCUAGAGGUUUUAUGGUUAGCAAAGCAAAAGUGUUG
rnacentral:lncRNA from 1 species